GCCUGGCUGGCUCAGUUGUAGAGCAUGAAACUCUUGAUCUCAAGGUAGUGAGUUCAAGCCCUGCACUGGGUA
rnacentral:tRNA from 1 species